UAGGGAAUCUUCCACAAUGGACGCAAGUCUGAUGGAGCAACGCCGCGUGAGUGAAGAAGGUUUUCGGAUCGUAAAGCUCUGUUGUAAGAGAAGAACGUGUGUGAGAGUGGAAAGUUCACACAGUGACGGUAACUUACCAGAAAGGGACGGCUAACUACGUGCCAG
rnacentral:rRNA from 1 species